rnacentral:tRNA from 5 species
GGCGGAGUAGCUCAGUUGGUUAGAGCAGCGGAAUCAUAAUCCGCGUGUCGGCGGUUCGAAUCCGUCCUCCGCUACCA